GUGUCAGCAGCCGCGGUAAUACGUAGGGUGCGAGCGUUAAUCGGAAUUACUGGGCGUAAAGCGUGCGCAGGCGGCGCGUUAAGACAGGUGUGAAAGCCCCGAGCUUAACUUGGGAAUUGCGCUUGUGACUGGCGUGCUGGAGUGUGGCAGAGGGAGGUGGAAUUCCACGUGUAGCAGUGAAAUGCGUAGAGAUGUGGAGGAACACCGAUGGCGAAGGCAGCCUCCUGGGCCAGCACUGACGCUCAUGCACGAAAGCGUGGGGAGCAAACAGGAUUAGAUACCCCCGUAGUCC
rnacentral:rRNA from 1 species